CAAAAAGUAGCUUAAAUAAAAGCAUCCGGCUUACAAUCGAACAACGCUAGUAACCAAACUGGCCUUUUUGA
rnacentral:tRNA from 1 species